rnacentral:rRNA from 1 species
UACGAAGGGGGCUAGCGUUGCUCGGAAUUACUGGGCGUAAAGCGCACGUAGGCGGCUUCUAAGUCGGAGGUGAAAUCCUGGAGCUCAACUCCAGAACUGCCUUCGAUACUGGAGAGCUUGAGUCCGGGAGAGGUGAGUGGAACUGCGAGUGUAGAGGUGAAAUUCGUAGAUAUUCGCAAGAACACCAGUGGCGAAGGCGGCUCACUGGCCCGGUACUGACGCUGAGGUGCGAAAGCGUGGGGAGCAAACAGG